rnacentral:misc_RNA from 1 species
AAAAACUCCCAUUUAAGUCGACAAAUAUACCUGCUAAUCAUUGAAAAUGGCACCGAAACAGAGGAUGCGUAUCGCCAACGAAAUUGCCAGCAAAAACAUUACCAUGAGAGGCAAUGUGCCAAAGUCUACCAAGGUAGAAAAGGACGACCAAUACCCCGUUGCGCCCUGGUUGCUGGCUCUCUUCAUCUUCGUAGUUUGCGGUUCAGCAGUGUUCCAAAUAAUCCAAUCCAUAAGACUUGCCUAGGUCCCCUCUCUUGUGAUUCCCACCCUUGACUGAAUACCUUACCAUUGUGGCUUGAACUGUUUCCUACUCACUUCUGAUAGCCUAGUACUUUUUUGAACGGAUGGAAUUAAA